GACGAACGCUGGCGGCGUGCUUAACACAUGCAAGUCGAACGGAAAGGCCCUGCUUUUGUGGGGUGCUCGAUUGGCGAACGGGUGAGUAACACGUGAGUAACCUGCCCUUGACUUUGGGAUAACUUCAGGAAACUGGGGCUAAUACCGGAUAGGAGCUCCUGCUGCAUUGUGGGGGUUGGAAAGUUUCGGCGGUUGGGGAUGGUCUCGCGGCUUAUCAGCUUGUUGGUGGGGUAGUGGCUUACCAAGGCUUUGACGGGUAGCCGGCCUGAGAGGGUGACCGGCGACAUUGGGACUGAGAUACGGCCCAGACGCCAACGGGAGGCAGCAGUGGGGAAUAUUGCACAAUGGGCGGAAGCCUGAUGCAGCAACGCCGCGUGCGGGAUGAAGGCGUUCGGGUUGUAAACAGAUUUAGCAUGUGAAGAAGAGUGAGUGACGGUAAUGGGUAAAGAAGCACCGGCUAAAUACGUG
rnacentral:rRNA from 1 species